GAUGAACGCUGGCGGCGUGCCUAAUACAUGCAAGUCGAGCGAACGGACGAGAAGCUUGCUUCUCUGAUGUUAGCGGCGGACGGGUGAGUAACACGUGGAUACCCUACCUAUAAGACUGGGAUAACUUCGGGACACCGUAGCUAAUACCGGAUAAUAUUUUGAACCGCAUUGUUCAAAAGUGAAAGACGGUCUUGCUGUCACUUAUAAAUGGAUCCGCGCUGCAUUAGCUAGUUGGUAAGGUAACGGCUUACCAAGGCAACGAUGCAUAGCUGACCUGAGAGGGGGAUCGGCAACACUGGAACUGAGACACGGUCCAGACUCCUACGGGAGGCAGCAGUAGGGAAUCUUCCGCAAUGGGCGAAAGCCUGACGGAGCAACGCCGCGUGAGUGAUGAAGGUCUUCGGAUCGUAAAACUCUGUUAUUAGGGAAGAACAUAUGUGUAAGUAACUGUGCACAUCUUGACGGUACCUAAUCAGAAAGCCACGGCUAACUACGUG
rnacentral:rRNA from 1 species